UGGUAUUUGUCUUUCUCUGACUUAUUUCACUUAGCAUGAUACUCUAGCUCCGUCUGUGUCAUUAGAGACGCAGGAUUUAAUUCCUUUUUAUGACUGAAUAAUGUUCCUGUGUGUGUGUCCCACAUCUUCACUUAUCAGCCGACGGAUGCUUGGGCUGCUUCCAUAGUUUGGCUAUUGUAAAUAAUGCUGCAGUAAACAUCGGGGUGCGUGUAUCCCUUUGAUUUAGUAUAUUUAUAUUUUGGGGGUAAAUAUCCAGUAGGCUGAUUAUUGGACAAUAGGGUAGUUCUGUUUUUUAAUGUUCCUUCUUUAUAAUCCUUGGCAACCGCUGACCUAUUCUAUGUUAGUAUCAUUUUUUUUUAAAGUGUUAGACAAAUGGAAUUAAAAACUACAUAAUGUUAUGAAAUGAGCUUUUUCAGUUGGCAUAAUGUACUGGAGAUACACCCAAGUGGAGAGGAGAAAUACUAUAUCCCUUUUGCUUGCUGAAUAGGAUUCCCAGUACAACAGUUUAUCCCUUUAGCCAUUGAAGGAAACUGGAGUUCUCUGUAGUUGGGGCUAUUACAAAUACAGUUGUUAUGUUCAUUUGUGUAUGGUGUCUUGUGUGAACAUUUUAUUUCUCUAGGGUAAAUUUUCAGAAAGGGCUUGUUCUGUCAUACAGUAAAUAUAUGUUUAAUUUUUUUCUUUAAUGACCAUUAUAUUUUUGAGAGAGAGACAGAGCACAGAAUCCGAAGCAGACUCCAGGCUCUGAGCUGUCAGCACAGAGCUCUACGUGGGACUCAAACUCACGAGCCAUGAGAUCAUGGCCUCAGCUGAAGUCAGAUGAUUAACCGAUUGAGCCACCCAGUGUGUCCGGGGAUAACCAGUUCCGACUGCUUCAUUGUGUGAAGGUGAGAGAGCGCCAGCGACCACUGGUAUCAGUAUCCACGGGGUUAUGUACGCACAUCUGAAACCUCCUUAGAGGUAAACAAAGGAGCGCCCUGAGUCUUACCUAAGUGAUAUGGAGGAUGGAUCUUUGAAGCAAGCGGUUUCCUGGAACACAAAGAACGUGCGAACUGCCUCAAUUUGACUGUUUUCCCGGAUCAGAGG